CCUUGAGAAAAGAAGAAGUGUAGAGAUGAUGUACUUGCCUGAGGGAUGGAUUAAAAAGUCUUUGGUCUUCUCUGAACGGUACUACUGAAUUUAUCCUCAUCACCGUCAUCAUUGUCAUUGUCAUCAUCAUCAUGAAAACAGACCAUGUACAAAUCCAAGCCUGCCAUAGAAGUUGUUACCCUACAUAGAGUCCAUGCCUGUUUGUCCAGAGUUUGGGAAAAGUCAGAGCACAACCUAGAAUAAAUGCGAUAAUGUAUCACA
rnacentral:lncRNA from 10 species